rnacentral:rRNA from 1 species
UACGUAGGGUCCGAGCGUUGUCCGGAAUUAUUGGGCGUAAAGAGCUCGUAGGCGGUUUGUCGCGUCUGCUGUGAAAUCCCGAGGCUCAACCUCGGGCCUGCAGUGGGUACGGGCAGACUUGAGUGGUGUAGGGGAGACUGGAAUUCCUGGUGUAGCGGUGGAAUGCGCAGAUAUCAGGAGGAACACCGAUGGCGAAGGCAGGUCUCUGGGCACUUACUGACGCUGAGGAGCGAAAGCGUGGGGAGCAAACGGG